UAGGGAAUUUUCCACAAUGGGCGAAAGCCUGAUGGAGCAACGCCGCGUGCAGGAGGAAGGCCUUCGGGUUGUAAACUGCUUUUAUCUGCGACGAUUAUGACGGUAGCAGAAGAAUAAGGAUCGGCUAACUCCGUGCCAGCAGCCGCGGUCAUACGGAGGAUCCAAGCGUUAUCCGGAAUUACUGGGCGUAAAGAGUUGCGUAGGUGGCAAUAUAAGUAGACAGUGAAAUCGUGUGGCUCAACCAUACGCACAUUGUCUAAACUGUAUAGCUUGAGGACGAGAGAGGUAGAUGGAAUUCCCAGUGUAGGAGUGAAAUCCGUAGAUAUUGGGAGGAACACCGAUGGCGUAGGCAGUCUACUAGCUCGUUCCUGACACUAAGGCACGAAAGCGUGGGGAGCGAACGGGAUUAGAUACCCCCGUAGUCC
rnacentral:rRNA from 1 species